rnacentral:rRNA from 1 species
GAUGAACGCUAGCGGCAGGCUUAACACAUGCAAGUCGAGGGGCAUCGGGAGGGAAGCUUGCUUUCCUUGCCGGCGACCGGCGCACGGGUGAGUAACACGUAUGCAACCUGCCCUCUUCAGGGGGACAACCUUCCGAAAGGGAGGCUAAUCCCGCGUAUAUCGGUUUCGGGCAUCCGUUAUCGAGGAAAGAUUCAUCGGAAGAGGAUGGGCAUGCGGCGCAGUAGCGUGACGGCGGGGUAACGGCCCACCGUGGCGACGAUGCGUAGGGGUUCUGAGAGGAAGGUCCCCCACACUGGUACUGAGACACGGACCAG